UUUUUUAUAGGAAACACAAAUAUAUAUAUUGAUAGAAAAAGAAGUACAAAAGAAGGAUGAGGAAUCCUCCCACCAAAGAUAAAACUAAACAACACAAUAAAAGGAACUUUAAUAAUAUUGACCAUAACUCAUUGUAGACCAAAGGCUUUUUCCCCUCAGAGGUUCAAAGUUGAGCGAAGUAAGAUUGAUGAAUCAAGAUACUUUCAAAAGCUCACUUAGUAAGUGUUAUGAAACUGCCAAAUACCAUCCAAACAAGUAUUUCUAAGUAUUUCUAAAAUCAUUUAUGAAUAUUUAUGAAUAAUAUUGACCAUAACUCAUUGUAGACCAAAGGUUUUUUCCCCUCAGAGGUCAAAGUUGAGCAAAGUAAGAUUGGUGAAUCAAGAUACUUUCAAAAGCUCACUUAGUAAGUGUUAUGAAACUGCCAAAUACCAGCCAAACAU
rnacentral:lncRNA from 1 species